rnacentral:lncRNA from 1 species
CUCCGCUCGACCUCUCCCUGGCCUGUCCUGUUCUGUUAUUGCCAGCAUCCUGGUGGGACAAUUUCAUGGGUGGAAUCAGAGUGCGUUAGAGUAAGAAACCUAAAGAGAUGCUAUUUUCUGCCUAAUCUGUUUUCUCCCCGUGGGUCAAUUUGGCUGCACUUUUAUUUUGAAAUCAAAGAACCUAGAAACAAAUGAGCAAACACCUUAUUAUUGAGAACCAUCUGCAGAAAAUCCCACGGAGCAGCUCCAAGGUCAAAGCUUAUCUGUUUUGCCUCAUGCACAAAACAGCCAGCACCAGGAGACCGGCAGGAUGGGAAAUCACAGAAUCAUAAGAAGUUUGGGUAAAAGGAAGCAUCUUCUUUCAGUUGAAUGUAAAGGCAACGUAUCUUCUGAAAGAGAAGAAAAAAAAAAAAAGAAAACUCCUAGAUGUCUCAGCAGUGGGCCAAGAAGAGACCCUGGAGGACCAAGCACGCCCAAAAUACAUUUUUUUGGCUCUCAGCCUGAUGGGAAGGAGGUCACAGCCAGAGAAUGAGCCGGACCUGGGCCUUGUGCCCUUCUGGUGCCCAGCGAGCCCUCACUGUUUCCAGGAAAGGCUGGCCUCUAAUCACAGGAUACUCGACAAACUCUCGUUAGCUGAUCACCUAAUUUUAAAUUCUCACGCAUUUACAUUUUUCAAGGAAAUUUGGCAAAGGAAACCAAGUGACUAUUUUUGGUUUCUCUUUAGGUUACUUUAUUCUGCACAAUUUUGAGCCGAUACAGCAAGAAUAUAUAAUUACAUGUGGGGUAGCUUUAGCAACUUUAUAGAAGAUGAACUUGCCUGUCACUGGGCUUUAUGUUCUGAUGCAGAAGUCAUCAAAAGGAGGUGCUGGGGAACGACUCCCUGUUCU